rnacentral:tRNA from 1 species
AGAGAUAUAGCUCAGUGGCAGAGCACAUGCUUAGCACACAUGAGGUCCUGGAUUCAAUCUCCUGUACCUCCA